rnacentral:rRNA from 1 species
GCGUGAGUGAAGAAGGUCUUAGGAUCGUAAAGCUCUUUCGCCAGGGAUGAUAAUGACAGUACCUGGUAAAGAAACCCCGGCUAACUCCGUGCCAGCAGCCGCGGUAAUACGGAGGGGGUUAGCGUUGUUCGGAAUUACUGGGCGUAAAGCGUACGUAGGCGGAUUGGAAAGUUGGGGGUGAAAUCCCGGGGCUCAACCCCGGAACUGCCUCCAAAACUCCCAGUCUUGAGUUCGAGAGAGGUGAGUGGAACUCCGAGUGUAGAGGUGAAAUUCGU